AGGGAUGUAGCUCAGUGGUAGAGCAUCUGUGUUGCAUGCAGAAUGUCCCAGCUUCAAUCCCUGGCAUUUCCA